rnacentral:rRNA from 1 species
GCGAACGGGUGAGUAACACGUGGGUAACCUGCCCAUCAGAAGGGGAUAACACUUGGAAACAGGUGCUAAUACCGUAUAACAAUCAAAACCGCAUGGUUUUGAUUUGAAAGGCGCUUUCGGGUGUCGCUGAUGGAUGGACCCGCGGUGCAUUAGCUAGUUGGUGAGGUAACGGCUCACCAAGGCCACGAUGCAUAGCCGACCUGAGAGGGUGAUCGGCCACAUUGGGACUGAGACACGGCCCAAACUCCUACGGGAGGCAGCAGUAGGGAAUCUUCGGCAAUGGACGAAAGUCUGACCGAGCAACGCCGCGUGAGUGAAGAAGGUUUUCGGAUCGUAAAACUCUGUUGUUAGAGAAGAACAAGGAUGAGAGUAACUGUUCAUCCCUUGACGGUAUCUAACCAGAAAGCCACGGCUAACUACGUGCCAGCAGCCGCGGUAAUACGUAGGUGGCAAGCGUUGUCCGGAUUUAUUGGGCGUAAAGCGAGCGCAGGCGGUUUCUUAAGUCUGAUGUGAAAGCCCCCGGCUCAACCGGGGAGGGUCAUUGGAAACUGGGAGACUUGAGUGCAGAAGAGGAGAGUGGAAUUCCAUGUGUAGCGGUGAAAUGCGUAGAUAUAUGGAGGAACACCAGUGGCGAAGGCGGCUCUCUGGUCUGUAACUGACGCUGAGGCUCGAAAGCGUGGGGAGCAAACAGGAUUAGAUACCCUGGUAGUCCACGCCGUAAACGAUGAGUGCUAAGUGUUGGAGGGUUUCCGCCCUUCAGUGCUGCAGCUAACGCAUUAAGCACUCCGCCUGGGGAGUACGACCGCAAGGUUGAAACUCAAAGGAAUUGACGGGGGCCCGCACAAGCGGUGGAGCAUGUGGUUUAAUUCGAAGCAACGCGAAGAACCUUACCAGGUCUUGACAUCCUUUGACCACUCUAGAGAUAGAGCUUCCCCUUCGGGGGCAAAGUGACAGGUGGUGCAUGGUUGUCGUCAGCUCGUGUCGUGAGAUGUUGGGUUAAGUCCCGCAACGAGCGCAACCCUUAUUGUUAGUUGCCAUCAUUCAGUUGGGCACUCUAGCAAGACUGCCGGUGACAAACCGGAGGAAGGUGGGGAUGACGUCAAAUCAUCAUGCCCCUUAUGACCUGGGCUACACACGUGCUACAAUGGGAAGUACAACGAGUUGCGAAGUCGCGAGGCUAAGCUAAUCUCUUAAAGCUUCUCUCAGUUCGGAUUGCAGGCUGCAACUCG